CAUCCUCACUCCCAACUCGUAACAUAUUGACGCUUGGUCAGGAGCCCUUUGCGUCAAUACUAUACGCACAGGGUACCCCUUUAGCGUUAUUUUUUGACGUCCUGGGUUUCCCAAUGACUUCUAUAGGAACGCCUGCGGCGUUGACAUUUGACGUGUUAAGCACGGGUAAAAUGAGAACAAAAAUAGGAAUAAAAUAAGCAUAAAAAUAAAGAAUUUGCUACAAUAAAUUAGUUAUGGCAGGGAUUGUCAUACUGUUUUUAAUGUGCUGCGAUUAUGUUUGGUUAUUCAAUGAUUAAUCAUUGCAAACGCAAUGCAAUGCAAUUAACAUUUUACAUUAUAUUUAUUUAAUUGUUUGUUUGUUUAUUUAUUUAUUGGUUGGUUGGUUGGUUGGUUGGUUGGUUGGUUUAUUGAUAGAUUUUUAUUUUAUUUUUUUUAUUAAUAAAUCCAACAAUUACUACCGCUGACGUCACUGUAAGGCGCGAUCCAUUGCGAUUUUACACUUGGUAAGUAGAACAGACAUCAAUAUAGACGGGAACAAUCCUUAAAUUUGCGUAGUAAUAAUCGUUCAAUCACGGUAAAAUUUUGUGUUUAGAACCUUUAGAAGUGUCUCACGGCAUUUCGUGAUUUGGUCACGAAAUUUAAUCUAUUUAUUCGUGGCAGGAACACGUUUAUUUCGUUAUUUUCGUAAUUCCAGCACGUUUUUUAAACUAAUGUAUUUCAAUUGGAUGGAUCUUUCGUGCAUAUAGCACGAUUUUUUCUGCCAGUCGGGCUGCAGUAGGGAAGCUAAACAUUUAUUCACAAGAUCUUAUCAAGACUGCAAUAUAUAAGAAUAAAUAGGAAUCGGCAACAAUUAACGAUCUAUGCCAGCGCAAGUCAAUAUUUAUCUGGUCAUUUUCAACUGGUUUUUAAUGUUAAAAGUCCCUCGCAGUCAACAGCUGUUUCCGGUGAGUUCUCAACUGCAGGAUCAAUAGCAUUCAGCAGUGAGUUUAACAACGCUCAAAUGUGGGUAAAAUAACAUUCAGAGAGGAGUUUUAUUAAAACAGCGUUCAACUGCAUGUAAGACAACCUUUUAGAGGUGAGUUUAACAACGCUCCACGGCGCGUGAGAUUAAGUAUUUUAAGCGUUUUCUGAUCAUGUAUUGCUUAUUAGACGUGAUGCAUGCUGGGUGUUAAAUAAUUUUUAUCAAAUGAUCGUUGAUGUUAAUAAAUAUAGAUCUAAAUAUACAUUUUACUUGUGUUCGAUUAAUUAAUAAGUUGUUUAAUUAUUAAUUUGUUUAUUUAAAGUCCUGUAAUAACUGUGACGUCAUCGAAUGAGACGAAGGUCCAUGGCUGUUUCAACUCGGAAGUUGAGAUGAAGAACUCCAAGAACAUCUCUUGAUCUUGGAUAAGUUGGUUGAUGGUCAAGAACUAAAGGAUGAGCUCCAAAGUCUUGAUGACUUUCUUGGUGAACUGCAAGAAAGGCAGCAGCACCAAUAAAGACACCUGAGCCGAGGGUGCAUUGGAGAAAAAGAGACAUUGAUGGAAAUAUUGUCUAUGCAAGGCCAAGGUCAAGCAGGAAUCAACAAAAGAAAGACUGGUAACUAGACUGUGCCGCUAGCCUUGGGACAAGUUGGAAUUUUGUAUGUAUGUAUACUUUAUUGUAUAUUACAGAUAAAUGUUGCUUUGUGAUGUUUUUAUCCUCUAAAGCUGAUCACAUUCGGAACACUGAUCCUCCCAAUGCUCCUGACACUCAUUGUGAGGUGGCCUUUGCUCCAGAGACUGUUGGUGUGUACUUCAAUGUGUUUAAAUUACAGAAUAUGACAGUGGGUUAUAAGAGUGUAUUCACUGAACGAUUUCUCAAGUAAUGACGCAUCACCUCCUGGAACCCCAAGAGAUCCUCUUCAGGCUUCCUCAAACUGGAGCACACACAAAUUCUCUUUUCAGAGAGGUGGAGGACAGAGAGACCCUGUCUGCUGAACACGGCUGUGGCACAAGAAAAUGUGGCAGCACAUCUGCCAGAGUGUGGGAGAAGCCCAAGCUGUUAUCCAGUGUUGUGACUGACGACCUCGUCCCUUCUUCUGUGCUGAAUGUGACGUCAUCAUGUCCUCCAUAGCAGAGAUGCCAUGACUGCUGGAUUCUUCCAGCCAUUGCCUCCAACAACUGUUGUGGUGGAUAAGGCUCUUUCCCAUUGUGAGUCAUUAAGUGUCUGUCCAGGAAAGAGUUGCUGUGGUCACAAUUAAUGAAAUGAAGAUGGCGGCACCAGGACUGUCCUGUCAAGCAUUUUUAAGAAUGCUGGAUCAGCGAACUGUCUGCUUUGGUUGUACUGGCAAGAUCUCAGCAGACAGUUUUCAGAAACGUUUUUUUGGCUUUGCGAUUCAAGGUGGACAAUAUAUUCAAAUCUGAGGAACCGGACAUCUUUGAAGGCAUCUUCAUAGCUAAGGAUGAGGAUAUUACCAAACUUGUAAAAUUGUAGAUGAUAAUUACACUAUAGGACUACAAUAUCCUCUUAUUGAAUAGUUUGUGUAGGAAAGUCUUAUUUUCACCAUUUUCCAUAUUGUAGGUCAGUGGAAGAGGUGUUUGUGGAGGGGAGUGGUCAGCAGCCAGAGAGACCUCCCAAAAACUGCAAGCAACAUAGACGAGGAGGGAUUGGAGUUGUGGUGAAAUGGAGUAUGGCAUAUCAGGAUGGUUGUGGAUUAACACUAGGAGAGGAGGUGGAACAGUGCAAUGCCUUCCUCUCUAGGAUUCCAGUGACCACAAAACACAUUUCAAAAGCAGGACGCGCAGACAUGCUGACUCUCAUGGCCAUGCACUGACAUCAGCAAACGUUUAACAAUUUAGCCAUCUCAAAUACUCGCCGAUAUCAGAAGAUUCACCAAGCAAGAGACUGUUACCUACAAGUUUUGUCGGGAGCCGAGAACAUCAACUUCUUGUAUAGAAGUUGAUGAGUACGACAGUGACUUUGACAUUUCUGGUGAUGGUCUGUAAUCCACAAGACUGUGAUACCUUCCAUUAUUCUGGACAAAGAUUUCUAACUGUCAAUAUAAAGCAAUUAAUAAAAUCUACUUUUCAUAA